rnacentral:rRNA from 1 species
UACGGGGGGGGCAAGCGUUGUUCGGAAUUACUGGGCGUAAAGCGCGCGUAGGCGGCUUUGUAAGUUAGAGGUGAAAGCCCGGAGCUCAACUCCGGAACUGCCUUUAAGACUGCAUCGCUAGAAUUGUGGAGAGGUGAGUGGAAAUUCCGAGUGUAGAGGUGAAAUUCGUAGAUAUUCGGAAGAACACCAGUGGCGAAGGCGACUCACUGGACACAUAUUGACGCUGAGGUGCGAAAGCGUGGGGAGCAAACAGG